CACACCACACCACCUAAAUAAUAUUCAGUAUUAUCGAAAAAAGUCAAAUUGUAUGUUUCAUCAACUAUGUAAGAUAUCUCAACCCAAUGAGGGAUUUAUAUGAGUAUCGUAUCAAAAUGAACGAACUAAGUAAAGCUAUUCUGAUCGUUCUAUAAUAUGAUUCUCAUUGCCUUCUUAUCAUUCGCUUUUAGUAUCGAUAAAUUUAUAGUCUUUAGCUUAACAAAGUAGCUAAUUUUUGUCGAAUUUUUUUUUUAAAGCAUUAUAGUUGUUUGACUUCACAGUUAUACUUUCAUUAGUAUUUUUUGAUAGUAUAUAUUACGCUGGGAUCAUUCGUUUAACUUGCAGUACGUAUCAAUGCCUAGUACAAUAUUACUUUACAAAUACAAUGUAAUAUAACAAUUAUCAUGGUUCAGUAGCUUUGCAAAUGAACUGUUUGAUCAAGAAAAUUUAAUGUAUUUCAUAAUUUUUCUCGAAGUCAAUUCUAUCAGUAAUGAAAUAACUAAGCCACAUGGAUGCGUCCAGAAAUGAUAUCGAGGCCUUCCCAUGCCACAAUGUUUUUGGCUUUAUUAAAACCACUGUUUUUUAUUGCUGGCAUGUUAAUUGAAUGGACAUUUUUCGAUGUCGUCAAACUGGAAGCAAACAGAAGCUAAAGUAACCCGAAAUGUAUUUUGUUAAAACAUAACUAUCUUAACUCUAAAUAGAUAUAAAAAAUUCUGUGUUUCACGCAUACAAUGAUAUUAAUGUAUAUGUAAUGAUACCUUAACGGAAGCGCUGAGUACGGGAUCAAAGGUCAAUCAACAAAAAAGGGUGAAGCAAUUGUACGC